GAUGAACGCUGGCGGCGUGCCUCAAACAUGCAAGUCGAGCGAGGCUAUGAAUUACCGCAAGGUAAGGCAUAGCCUAGCGGCGAACGGGUGAGUAACACGUGGGUAACCUACCUGGAAGACAGGGAUAACGAUUCGAAAGGGUCGCUAAUACCUGAUAAUAUCCGUCUGCCGGAUGGCGGAGGGAAGAAAGGGGAAACCCGCUUUCAGAUGGGCCCGCGUCCCAUCAGCUAGUUGGUAAGGUAAAGGCUUACCAAGGCGACGACGGGUAGCCGGUCUGAGAGGAUGUACGGCCACACUGGGACUGAGAUACGGCCCAGACUCCUACGGGAGGCAGCAGUUGGGAAUCUUAGGCAAUGGACGAAAGUCUGACCUAGCGACGCCGCGUGAGGGAAGAAGGCCUUCGGGUUGUAAACUCUGUCAUGGGGAAGAAGGAAGUGACGGUACCCAACGAGGAAGCCCUGCUAACUACGUG
rnacentral:rRNA from 1 species